rnacentral:rRNA from 1 species
AGCGGCGGACGGGUGAGUAAUGCCUAGGAAAUUGCCCUGAUGUGGGGGAUAACCAUUGGAAACGAUGGCUAAUACCGCAAAUGCCUACGGGCCAAAGAGGGGGACCUUCGGGCCUCUCGCGUCAGGAUAUGCCUAGGUGGGAUUAGCUAGUUGGUGAGGUAAGGGCUCACCAAGGCGACGAUCCCUAGCUGGUCUGAGAGGAUGAUCAGCCACACUGGAACUGAGACACGGUCCAGACUCCUACGGGAGGCAGCAGUGGGGAAUAUUGCACAAUGGGCGCAAGCCUGAUGCAGCCAUGCCGCGUGUGUGAAGAAGGCCUUCGGGUUGUAAAGCACUUUCAGUCGUGAGGAAGGUAGUGUAGUUAAUAGCUGCAUUAUUUGACGUUAGCGACAGAAGAAGCACCGGCUAACUCCGUGCCAGCAGCCGCGGUAAUACGGAGGGUGCGAGCGUUAAUCGGAAUUACUGGGCGUAAAGCGCAUGCAGGUGGUUUGUUAAGUCAGAUGUGAAAGCCCGGGGCUCAACCUCGGAAUUGCAUUUGAAACUGGCAGACUAGAGUACUGUAGAGGGGGGUAGAAUUUCAGGUGUAGCGGUGAAAUGCGUAGAGAUCUGAAGGAAUACCGGUGGCGAAGGCGGCCCCCUGGACAGAUACUGACACUCAGAUGCGAAAGCGUGGGGAGCAAACAGGAUUAGAUACCCUGGUAGUCCACGCCGUAAACGAUGUCUACUUGGAGGUUGUGGCCUUGAGCCGUGGCUUUCGGAGCUAACGCGUUAAGUAGACCGCCGGGGGAGUACGGUCGCAAGAUUAAAACUCAAAUGAAUUGACGGGGGCCCGCACAAGCGGUGGAGCAUGUGGUUUAAUUCGAUGCAACGCGAAGAACCUUACCUACUCUUGACAUCCAGAGAACUUUCCAGAGAUGGAUUGGUGCCUUCGGGACUCUGAGACAGUGCUGCAUGGCUGUCGUCAGCUCGGGUUGUGAAAUGUUGGGUUAAUCCCGCAACGAGGGCAACCCUUUUCUUGUUUGCCACCAAUAAUGUCGGGAAUCCCGGGGACUGCCGUGAUAACCGGAGGAAGGUGGGGACAACUCCAGUCUCAGGGCCCUUCCAAUAGGGUUCCCC